AGAGUUUGAUCAUGGCUCAGAUUGAACGCUGGCGGCAUGCUUUACACAUGCAAGUCGAACGGUAACAGGCCGCAAGGUGCUGACGAGUGGCGAACGGGUGAGUAAUGCAUCGGAACGUGCCCAGUCGUGGGGGAUAACGCAGCGAAAGCUGCGCUAAUACCGCAUACGAUCUAUGGAUGAAAGCGGGGGACCGUAAGGCCUCGCGCGAUUGGAGCGGCCGAUGUCAGAUUAGGUAGUUGGUGGGGUAAAGGCUCACCAAGCCGACGAUCUGUAGCUGGUCUGAGAGGACGACCAGCCACACUGGGACUGAGACACGGCCCAGACUCCUACGGGAGGCAGCAGUGGGGAAUUUUGGACAAUGGGCGCAAGCCUGAUCCAGCAAUGCCGCGUGCAGGAAGAAGGCCUUCGGGUUGUAAACUGCUUUUGUACGGAACGAAAAGGCCCUGGUUAAUACCUGGGGCUCAUGACGGUACCGUAAGAAUAAGCACCGGCUAACUACGUGCCAGCAGCCGCGGUAAUACGUAGGGUGCAAGCGUUAAUCGGAAUUACUGGGCGUAAAGCGUGCGCAGGCGGUUUUGUAAGACAGGCGUGAAAUCCCCGGGCUCAACCUGGGAAUUGCGCUUGUGACUGCAAGGCUGGAGUGCGGCAGAGGGGGAUGGAAUUCCGCGUGUAGCAGUGAAAUGCGUAGAUAUGCGGAGGAACACCGAUGGCGAAGGCAAUCCC
rnacentral:rRNA from 1 species